CCUUACAGAUGAGCAAAGAAAGUGGUUUCUCGAAAUGGAAUCUACUCCUGGUGAAGAUGCUGUGAA
rnacentral:pre_miRNA from 1 species